GGUCCCUGGAUGGUCUUGGGAAUCCCGGACGAGCCCCCAGAUGUUAUGCCCAGAUUUCAGGAUCCCCAAGAAACCACAUCAGGGA
ensembl:miRNA